GAUGAACGCUGGCGGCGUGCCUAAUACAUGCAAGUCGAGCGAACGGACGAGAAGCUUGCUUUUCUGAUGUUAGCGGCGGACGGGUGAGUAACACGUGGAUAACCUACCUAUAAGACUGGGAUAACUUCGGGAAACCGGAGCUAAUACCGGAUGAUAUUUUGAACCGCAUGGUUCAAAAGUGAAAGACGGUCUUGCUGUCACUUAUAGAUGGAUCCGCGCUGCAUUAGCUAGUUGGUAAGGUAACGGCUUACCAAGGCAACGAUGCAUAGCCGACCUGAGAGGGUGAUCGGCCACACUGGAACUGAGACACGGUCCAGACUCCUACGGGAGGCAGCAGUAGGGAAUCUUCCGCAAUGGGCGAAAGCCUGACGGAGCAACGCCGCGUGAGUGAUGAAGGUCUUCGGAUCGUAAAACUCUGUUAUUAGGGAAGAACAUAUGUGUAAGUAACUGUGCACAUCUUGACGGUACCUAAUCAGAAAGCCACGGCUAACUACGUGCCAGCAGCCGCGGUAAUACGUAGGUGGCAAGCGUUAUCCGGAAUUAUUGGGCGUAAAGCGCGCGUAGGCGGUUUUUUAAGUCUGAUGUGAAAGCCCACGGCUCAACCGUGGAGGGUCAUUGGAAACUGGAAAACUUGAGUGCAGAAGAGGAAAGUGGAAUUCCAUGUGUAGCGGUGAAAUGCGCAGAGAUAUGGAGGAACACCAGUGGCGAAGGCGACUUUCUGGUCUGUAACUGACGCUGAUGUGCGAAAGCGUGGGGAUCAAACAGGAUUAGAUACCCUGGUAGUCCACGCCGUAAACGAUGAGUGCUAAGUGUUAGGGGGUUUCCGCCCCUUAGUGCUGCAGCUAACGCAUUAAGCACUCCGCCUGGGGAGUACGACCGCAAGGUUGAAACUCAAAGGAAUUGACGGGGACCCGCACAAGCGGUGGAGCAUGUGGUUUAAUUCGAAGCAACGCGAAGAACCUUACCAAAUCUUGACAUCCUUUGACAACUCUAGAGAUAGAGCCUUCCCCUUCGGGGGACAAAGUGACAGGUGGUGCAUGGUUGUCGUCAGCUCGUGUCGUGAGAUGUUGGGUUAAGUCCCGCAACGAGAGCAACCCUUAAGCUUAGUUGCCAUCAUUAAGUUGGGCACUCUAAGUUGACUGCCGGUGACAAACCGGAGGAAGGUGGGGAUGACGUCAAAUCAUCAUGCCCCUUAUGAUUUGGGCUACACACGUGCUACAAUGGACAAUACAAAGGGCAGCGAAACCGCGAGGUCAAGCAAAUCCCAUAAAGUUGUUCUCAGUUCGGAUUGUAGUCUGCAACUCGACUACAUGAAGCUGGAAUCGCUAGUAAUCGUAGAUCAGCAUGCUACGGUGAAUACGUUCCCGGGUCU
rnacentral:rRNA from 1 species